rnacentral:rRNA from 1 species
GACGAACGCUGGCGGCGUGCUUAACACAUGCAAGUCGAACGAAAAGAGGGAAAGAGCUUGCUCUUUCCGGAAUCGAGUGGCAAACGGGUGAGUAACACGUAAACAACCUGCCUUCAGGAUGGGGACAACAGACGGAAACGACUGCUAAUACCGAAUAAGUUCCAAGGGCUGCAUGGCCCUUGGAAGAAAAGGUGGCUUCUAUUAUUAAGCUAUCGCCUGAAGAGGGGUUUGUGUCUGAUUAGCCGGUUGGGGGGGUAACGGCCCACCAAGGCGACGAUCAGUAACCGGUCUUGAAGGAUGAACGGCCACACUGGGAUUGGAGCACGGUCCAGAAUCCUACGGGGGGCAGCAGUGGGGGAUCUUCCGCAAUGGGCGGAAGGCUGACGGGGCAACGCCGCGGGAGUGAUGACGGCCUUCGGGUUGUAAAACUCUGGGAUCCAGGACGGAAAGACAGAGUGCGAAGAACAAACUGCAUUGACGGUACCGGAAAAGCAAGCCACGGCUAACUACGUG